rnacentral:rRNA from 1 species
AUCUACUGCCAUACCAACCUGAACAUGCAUAAUCUCAUCUCACCUAGGAAGCUAAGCAGGGUUGGGCCAGGUUAGGACUUGGAUAGGUGGCAAUCACCCUACAAUGUAGAUA